rnacentral:tRNA from 1 species
UUAGAAGAAGAUUUGAACUUCUGACACAAGGAUUUUCAGUCCUUUGCUCUAACCAACUGAGCUACCUAAAC